UCUAUCGAUAUAUUAUUCUCAUAGCGAAUCAAAGUCGUCAGUCGUAGAGUUUGGUGGUUAAGAACACGCACAUGUACGAUCGGAACGAUAAAAUUUCCUUAUCAUAUUAACGAGCAUCAUAAAGAGAGAUUAAGAAGAUGACGGCAAUAGUAAAAUGUCGAAUUUUGAUUGUAUAUGUCGAAAACGAUGUACGGGCAGAUAUAACAGCAUAUAGAACAAACAUGAGCGAUUUGAUACGUUAUAUUAAAAAUACAAUAACGCAGAAAUUUGACGUAGAAGUAAUUGAUAUAUUGCUAUCAUUUGAUGACAUGAUGACGCAAAUAAAUGCUUGGUGCAAUGAAUUUGUUGAUACUAUUUUUGUUAUUGGUUAUCCAUAUUAUGUUAAUAAAUAUAAGAAU